rnacentral:misc_RNA from 1 species
CCAAUAGCGUAUAUUAAAGUUGUUGCAGUUAAAAAGCUCGUAGUUGAAUUUCGGGAUCAAUAUAUCGGUCGUGCCAUUGGUACGUACUGGUAUCAUUGGUUUCUCCUUUCUGACGAACCAUGAUGUCAUUAAUUUGGUGUUAUGGGAAGUUAGGACUGUUACUUUGAAAAAAUUAGAGUGUUUAAAGCAGGCUUUAGCUUGAAUACAUUAGCAUGGAAUAAUGAAAUAGGACGUUCGAACCUAUUUUGUUGGUUUCUAGGAUCAACGUAAUGAUUAAUAGGGAUAGUUGGGGGCAUUAGUAUUCAAUUGUCAGAGGUGAAAUUCUUGGAUUUAUUGAAGACUAACUACUGCGAAAGCAUUUGCCAAGGAUGUUUUCAUUAAUCAAGAACGAAAGUUAGGGGAUCGAAGACGAUCAGAUACCGUCGUAGUCUUAACCAUAAACUAUGCCGACUAGUAAUCAGACGAUGUUAAUUUUUUAAUGACUCGUUUGGCACCUUACG